rnacentral:rRNA from 1 species
GACGAACGCUGGCGGCGUGCCUAAUACAUGCAAGUCGAGCGAGACUCUUCGGAGUCUAGCGGCGGACGGGUGAGUAACACGUGGGCAACCUGCCUGUAAGACUGGGAUAACACCGGGAAACCGGUGCUAAUACCGGAUAAUCCUUUUCUUCUCAUGAGGAAAAGCUGAAAGUCGGUUUCGGCUGACACUUACAGAUGGGCCCGCGGCGCAUUAGCUAGUUGGUGAGGUAACGGCUCACCAAGGCGACGAUGCGUAGCCGACCUGAGAGGGUGAUCGGCCACACUGGGACUGAGACACGGCCCAGACUCCUACGGGAGGCAGCAGUAGGGAAUCUUCCACAAUGGACGAAAGUCUGAUGGAGCAACGCCGCGUGAGCGAUGAAGGCCUUCGGGUCGUAAAGCUCUGUUGUUAGGGAAGAACAAGUACCGGAGUAACUGCCGGUACCUUGACGGUACCCAACCAGAAAGCCACGGCUAACUACGUGCCAGCCGCCGCAGUAACAC